rnacentral:lncRNA from 1 species
UUAUGUUUUUGCAUGCAAAUUUUAAUUAUGAACUUAAUUAUUUUAUGAAUAAAUAAUUUUUUUAUUUAUUCAAUAAGUUAUGUAUUUUAUUGUUAAAUGUAUUGAAAGAACCAUGACUUUCAUUAUUCCUCACCAAUUAUUGAACAGUCCCAUUCUCUUGGACCCUAGGGUCUAAGGAAGUUUUGGUCACUCGCCAUUAGAUCUAACUUUAAGAAAAAACUGAUUUAAAUAUCAAUAUGUCAUUAUUUUAUUAUUUUUACUGUACAAAAUAUUAAUUUAACCUAAACAAAAACAAAAAUUUUAAAAAAAGAAAAAAAUCACUCCAACCAAAACACCCAUUCUCUUAGAAAAUCAAGAACAUGUUCUUCCUCCAUUGUCGUUCACAACUACCUUCAACUUCGGCGUUACAGAAGGAACCAAAUUCCGAGCCAUCAACCCAUCCCUUCACACUUUAACGUGAUUGAAUUUCAAGGACCCACAACCAAGUGAUUUUCCUGAUGUUCUCUACCUUUGUGACCAAAUUUUUAUUUAUAAAUGUUAGUUUUGAAUGAUUCAUGAAUCCAGUUUGGGAAAACUUCAAUUUUUUACAAAUAAAUUUCAGGCAUUUUUUU